rnacentral:rRNA from 1 species
ACUCCUGCGGGAGGCAGCAGUGGGGAAUUUUGGACAAUGGGGGCAACCCUGAUCCAGCAAUGCCGCGUGAGUGAAGAAGGCAUUCGGGUUGUAAAGCUCUUUUGUCAGGGAAGAAACGGUGGUGGCGAAUAACUACUACUAAUGACGGUACCUGAAGAAUAAGCACCGGCUAACUACGUGCCAGCAGCCGCGGUAAUACGGAGGGUGCAAGCGUUAAUCGGAAUUACUGGGCGUAAAGCGUGCGCAGGCGGUUGUGUAAGUCAGAUGUGAAAUCCCCGGGCUCAACCUGGGAAUUGCAUUUGAGACUGCACGGCUAGAGUGUGUCAGAGGGGGGUAGAAUUCCACGUGUAGCAGUGAAAUGCGUAGAUAUGUGGAGGAAUACCGAUGGCGAAGGCAGCCCCCUGGGAUAACACUGACGCUCAUGCACGAAAGCGUGGGGAGCAAACAGGAUUAGAAACCCUUGUAGUCCC